CCUACGGGUGGCAGCAGUGAGGAAUAUUGGUCAAUGGACGAAAGUCUGAACCAGCCAAGUCGCGUGCAGGAUGACUGCCCUAUGGGUUGUAAACUUCUUUUGUACAGGAGUAAAACGAGGCACGUGUGCCUUUUUGCAUGUACUUUAUGAAUAAGGAUCGGCUAACUCCGUGCCAGCAGCCGCGGUAAUACGGAGGAUCCGAGCGUUAUCCGGAUUUAUUGGGUUUAAAGGGAGCGUAGGUGGGUUGUUAAGUUAGUUGUGAAAGUUUGCGGCUCAACCGUAAAAUUGCAAUUGAUACUGGCAGUCUAGAGUACAGAUGAGGUAGGCGGAAUGCGUGGUGUAGCGGUGAAAUGCUUAGAGAUCACGAAGAACCCCGAUUGCGAAGGCAGCUUACUAAUCUGUAACUGACAUUGAUGCACGAAAGUGUGGGUAUCAAACAGGAUUAGAUACCCGAGUAGUC
rnacentral:rRNA from 1 species